UUCAGGGCGAAAAUUUGAAGAGAAAGUGAACUAAUUUAAGUCGCCGACAUGGUCAAAAUGCCGAAGCAAGUGGUAAGCAUAAUGUCCAUAAAUUAAAGGCGUUUCCAUCUUAUUUGUUACUGAUGGACCAAAGUCCAAUCUCAUAUAACAUAUCUCCCUCCUUUAGUGGAAAACCUCCCGGUUUUCAUCGGAGAUAGAAUGGAAAGUUAUUACAAUUAAGUUCAAUGUGAUCUUUGGCGAAGGUUGGCAGACUUUCAGUAACCGUACGUACGUUUCUUUGCAUGUGCAACCAUCGUUGUAUUCCACUGUUGAGAACCAUUUUGUAACUUUAACUGUAAC